GAUGAACGCUAGCGAUAGGCCUAACACAUGCAAGUCGAGGGGCAUCACAUGAAGUAGCAAUACGGAUGGUGGCGACCGGCGCACGGGUGAGUAACACGUAUGCAACCUGCCUUCAACAAGGGGAUAACCCGUUGAAAGACGGACUAAUACCCUAUAACACAGGGGUCCCGCAUGGGAAUAUUUGUUAAAGGACAACCGGUUGAAGAUGGGCAUGCGUUCCAUUAGCUAGUUGGCGGGGUAACGGCCCACCAAGGCAACGAUGGAUAGGGGAACUGAGAGGUUUAUCCCCCACACUGGUACUGAGACACGGACCAGACUCCUACGGGAGGCAGCAGUGAGGAAUAUUGGUCAAUGGACGCAAGUCUGAACCAGCCACGUCGCGUGAAGGAAGACGGCCCUACGGGUUGUAAACUUCUUUUAUACGGGAAUAAAGUGCCCCACGCGUGGGGUUUUGCAUGUACCGUAUGAAUAAGG
rnacentral:rRNA from 1 species